rnacentral:rRNA from 1 species
GACCUGAUGCAGCCAUGCCGCGUGUGUGAAGAAGGCCUUCGGGUUGUAAAGCACUUUCAGUUGUGAGGAAAAGUUAGUAGUUAAUACCUGCUAGCCGUGACGUUAACAACAGAAGAAGCACCGGCUAACUCCGUGCCAGCAGCCGCGGUAAUACGGAGGGUGCGAGCGUUAAUCGGAAUUACUGGGCGUAAAGCGCACGCAGGCGGUUUGUUAAGCUAGAUGUGAAAGCCCCGGGCUCAACCUGGGAUAGUCAUUUAGAACUGGCAGACUAGAGUCUUGGAGAGGGGAGUGGAAUUCCAGGUGUAGCGGUGAAAUGCGUAGAUAUCUGGAGGAACAUCAGUGGCGAAGGCGACUCCCUGGCCAAAGACUGACGCUCAUGUGCGAAAGUGUGGGUAGCGAACAGGAUUAGAUACCCUGGUAGUCCACACCGUAAACGCUGUCUACUAGCUGUUUGUGACUUUAAGUCGUGAGUAGCGAAGCUAACGCGCUAAGUAGACCGCCUGGGGAGUACGGCCGCAAGGUUAAAACUCAAAUG